rnacentral:rRNA from 1 species
GAUGAACGCUGGCGGCGUGCUUAACACAUGCCAGUCGAACGGAAAGGCUCCUGCUUGCAGGGGUACUCGAGUGGCGAACGGGUGAGUAACACGUGGGUGAUCUGCCCUGCACUUCGGGAUAAGCCUGGGAAACUGGGUCUAAUACCGGAUAGGACCACAUUUUGGAUGGUGUGGUGGAAAGUUUUUCGGUGUGGGAUGAGCUCGCGGCCUAUCAGCUUGUUGGUGGGGUAAUGGCCUACCAAGGCGUCGACGGGUAGCCGGCCUGAGAGGGUGUACGGCCACAUUGGGACUGAGAUACGGCCCAGACUCCUACGGGAGGCAGCAGUGGGGAAUAUUGCACAAUGGGCGCAAGCCUGAUGCAGCGACGCCGCGUGGGGGAUGACGGCCUUCGGGUUGUAAACUCCUUUCGCUAGGGACGAAGCGUUUUUGUGACGGUACCCGGAGAAGAAGCACCGGCUAACUACGUG